UGCCGGCAACGCGCGCCCCAGCCCGUCACCCCUGCCGCACACUGGGCACUGCAGCCUCGGGGACUUCUUUCCUUCUUUUUCUUAGUAGAGAAGUUGCAGGUUUACGGAAAAGCCUGCACAAAACAACAUUUUACAGCGGUGCAACCGCGGGCCCUUCCUCCCCUGGGCCUCGGUUUCCUGAUAGGCAAAGUGGAGAAUGGGGCUGGACAGGCUCUCAGCUCGCAAAGUCUGACUCUGCACAUGGACCGCAGGCCCUGCCUGCCGUGCGCUGUGCUCAGAAACAGUCCAUGUUGCCUGUUUGGGCGAUGACUGUGAUGGUAAAAUGAGCAGAAGUCCUGUCGUCACUCUUAGGACUGCCAGCCGAGGAAGGGUGGUCGUGGGGCCUGCGGGGGUGCUGAGUCAGCGGCCGGGCCUCGGGGGUGUUUCACACUCAGCUCUUAGGUCGCAGGGUCGGAGCCCCAGCAGCCAGGUAAGGGUGCGCAACAGGAAGCCAGAAGAGAAACCGGUUUUUCCAAACCAAGAAAAUUGUAGGGCAAGAAGGAGAUGGAUGAGGCGCAGUAUGUCUCGCCAUCCUCGACACAGCCUUGGUGCUUCUGACGUACUUGUCGCUUCAGCUCAGGAAGACAGCGGCGAGAGCGGCCGAGGGGCCGCAGGGGAGCCAGCCCCCCAGGAGGAGCCGAGGCUGUCGGAGCGGGCAGCGCCAGCAGCCCCGCAGCCCUGCUCAGAGCCUCCCUCGGGGCCGCCGCCCGCCACCACCCCGCCCCUGGAUGACGUCCACUCCGACGACUCCGACGACGUCAUCUCCCCCUCGCUGCCCGGGAAGAAAGCCGCCUCCCCUCCCCGGCUCCGCGGCCAGCCCUCAGGCGGCUCCUCCGGACACGGCCAGGGUGCGCGCCCGCUCCCGAGCACGUGACCGCUCAGCCUGGAAAACGGUGUACCUUGUAAGGAGAGGAAGAGCCCCCCUAACACGCAGCCCCCGCUGGACUCUCUCUCGUGUGCUGUUAGCUUGUUUGCGCUCUGGGCACCCGAAGGCUUCCUUUUAUUCUUUGGGGAGACCGGGUGCUGGCAUCCUUCCUCGCCUUUGGCUGCAGUUCACAAUUACGAGUUCAGUGCGGCAGCCUUGCCCACCCCGAGUCGCGCAUCAACGGGGCCCCGGCCAGAGGCUGGCCUGCCCUUGGCCCUGACGUGGGGCCAGCCGCCCCCCAGGAGCCGGCCCUGACGUCGCACCCUCCACGCCGGUGACCUCACUCUGCGCAGGAGACAGACAGGGCUGGUCGGGGAGGUGUCACGCGCGCGGGGCCGGGCUGAGGGGCCGCCAGUUCUCGUGCACCAGCUCCCUCCUCCCCCACCUCCAGAGCCACGGCCCGGCUCUCUUCUCCCCUGGGACCCUGCCCCGGAGCACCGUUCCUCAGGGACUGUGGGUGGGACUUUGUCACCCGGCAGGCUAACCCUUAAAAGAAAGCAAAUUAAAAUCUCAGAAGCUGCAACAAAGUGCAGCAGGGCGUAAGCUGCUGCCCAGAGCCCCCUGGUCGGUGCUUUAGCCUUUGGUGGUCGCCCCGUGGAGACCUUGGCAUCCGGAAGCUUCUACACCGCUGCCUGCCGCCACAGCCGGGUGUGCCCAUCCAGAAGUCAGCGGCCGCGUGUGGUGGCCGCGUCCCCUUUAGAGCGCGGUCUCGGUGCUCGGUCAGCUGGUGGGUUGAGGUCAGCCCGUCCGGAGGGUCAACGUGGAGAGCCUCAGGCUCGGGGAGGACUUCCAGGGCUCGACCAGCCCAGGUGGACCCCUCCGGGUCUUUCUGAGGCCGAACGGCGGGUCCGCCCAUUGCCCACCAGUGGUGGUGUGAGCCCUGUGCCCCACCCCCACCCCAGACACUCACCCGCUCCAGCGUCGACCUUGACGGCAAAGCCCUCCAGCACGGGCCAAACGCGGCCUUUUCCCAGGAACCCGGCGGGCGCCCAGCCCCGAGCAGCCGCCUCGGCGGGGAGAGCGGGUGGCUUCACAUCUGUCUCCUGUCCAGCGGGUGGCCGGGGCCAGCCAGAGGCCCUGCCCCGUUGUCUGCCUUGCCUCUGUUUACCCAGCCAACCAGGAAAGUUCAGCCAGGGCCUCGUGUGUUCAAUUUUUGUCCAUUUGGUUUGGGGGCCGCCCGGUCACCUUUCUUUUCUCUUCCCCCGGAGCUGACUGGUAGCUGGGUUGAGUCCCUGCUGGCCUGCGCAGCUGCUGGCCAGAGCUGACCAUUAGCAGAGCCCAGGGGCUGACAAGGACCGGAGAGGACGGGCAGGGCUCCCUCCAGAAGAGCGCGUCCCCCCACUGGAAACCGGUGGCCUAAGAAGCCGUGGGGCCGGGGCCUCCCUGCCUUGGGGUAGGGCAUGCAGGGUGUGCCUGGGGCCAGGCUGCCUGGGCAGGGGCUGCCCGGCACCCGGAGACGACCCCCGAGGGGCCGCCGCCCCAGGCAGCGCUGCGGGCUCACAGCGACUGAGAGCAUGCUCCAUGGACGGCCAGCGCGCACCUUCUCCCGUCGGUGCUCCUAAGCAGAGGUGCUUCCUUGGUGAAAGCAAGCGCUCGGCCCUGCGGCAGCUUCUGGUGAGGGUGCCCGCCAGCGGGCCCUGUGCAGGCCAGCACCCACCUCAGCUGGCUGCACCUGUGGUUUUGCCUCCCAGAGAGCAGUGGCUGCAGGGCGGCCCAAAGCCGGGCCCAGGGAGCCAGGGCUGCAAGGGCGUCCGGCUUGGCACACUGGGCACGCCAGCAGGAGGGGAGGCCAGGGGGUGCCCGGGCCCGGGGAGCAAGGCUGUGAUCUUGAACUUGCCCUUGACGAGGUGCCCCCAGGAGACAGCCCCAGAGGGGUGGAGAGGGGCCCAGGGCAGGAGGGGUCCCCAGCCCGCUCCCGGCCACCCGCAAGCGCCGACACCUGCAUCAGCACCCGAGCCCUGAAUUUCCAUUCCUCGCACAGGAGAAACUCACACAGGGGUGUGGGGCGAGUAGUUCUCCAAACUCAGUUUAUUUUUUGUUUUCAAAACAGGGAAGGCAUACUUACGAAUCAGACAACACAGAUGGCCAAAACCAGAAACACACGGAGUGGUUUCCAGGGUUGGCUUUCCAGUGUCGGGCUGCAAAGAGCGAGAUGCCUGAGCCUCGUUCCACAUGGCUGCCAGCGCGGGGCCCCGGAACCCUGGCCCCAGCCCACCUUCGUGCCCCCACAGCCACUGGGUGGUGCUGGCCAGUGGCUCGUGUGGACAACUCCAUGCUCCCCCCACAAGCUCAGCACAAGCUGGGUGGGCCUGGCAGGUGACCCAGAACCCAGACCACCCACCUCUAUCCCGCCCACCCCCCCGCAGCUGACUCAGCAGACCUGUGCCCACAGCUGCCAGGCCUGGCUCCUGAACGGGCAGUGCCCCCCAUGCACACACACGUGCGCACGCAGCCUACACAUCCACAUACCUGCACACGCAGACCCACACACUCACAUACACAACUCACACAUGCACACUAACAGCUCUCUAAACUCUGCCACCUGCAGUUCUAGACAGCAAUGAAAUUGGCCACACUGAAAAUACGGGCUUAUUAUAGGUGUGGAAGAAAUAGUCCAGUGUCAGCUGGUUAGCGCUCUGUCCGUGUGAUGAUACACAUUUACACCCACAUGUAAAGUAAGACGGUAAUUUAGAAGCUGCUGUGCUACAUUCUUCGGUCUCAGGAAACCGCACACAUCUGCUGCCUCAUGGCUUUGUGGCCACGUUUCAAGUCAGACACGGUUUUCCAGCCCACGCCACCUUGAGCUCCUUAGUUGAGAUUCGGACAGUGGUUUGAGGAGUCUGUACAGGACGUGAUGCCCCCGGAAGGUCCUCGUCCCCAGCCACGAGCACCGGUGUGCGUGACGUUAGGCUGGCCCGUGGCUUCUGCCCGUGGUGUGUUCGUGUCCACAGUGCCACCACCACCCAGUUUUAAGUGACUGCGUUUUUACAGACGGCGCUUUGCACGUGAGGUUUUACAGCCGGGCCAGCUGCUGAGCCUGAGCCCGAGCCCAGGGUCGUCGUCCUGCCUGCUGGCAGUGGCCCUGCUUCUGCCUUCAGCCUCCGGGGCUUUUCCCAACAGCGCCCUGCUGCCUGGACAGGGGCCCCGCAGCACCGUGCUCAGAAGGGGCGUCAGCAGCAGGCAGCUCCCUCUUCCCCAAAGGAUAAUUGGGGUUCCCCCUGGGGGACCUGCCUCGUUCCCCCCCCCCAGCCAGCCUCCGUCCCUCCGCUGUGGGGCCUCCCACAUGCCAGUCACUCAGCUGGCACGCUCAGCUGAGCCGUUUCUUCUCUAAAAUGGCACUUCAUAUAAAUAAAUAAACCAUAUCUAACACAAUAUGAAAAAAUAAUAGAAAAGUGUUGAGGAGCCACAAUCACCCGCAAUCCCUCCACCUAGAAAUAAUCGUGUUGACAUUUGGUAAAUAUCACAGCCAUCUCUGCGUUUAUAAAUGGACGGUUGGAUGGGUGGAUGGAUGGAUGGACAAGCAAAUACAUGAGUAAGUUUGCCACUGUGAACUGAGGUGUAUACUGGCCACUUGAUGUUUAAAUAUUGCACUUAAUUUUACUUGAAGAGAAAAAGGCGGGGAGCGGCAGCAGCUGCUGGCGCUUGCGCCCCACUCCUGGGCUGAGCCCGGCGGGCCGUGCUCGACGUCCUCACCGCGUCGGCCGGCUGGCAGCGCGCUUGCGUCUGGCUCGAGGUACUGGUCUGUCUGGGGAGCUGCCAUCCUGGGCCAGCUGACUGUUUUCACGGCCUGCGCUGCCUCGGGCUGCUCAUUCUGGUUUGCGCUGAGGGAGGACGCCGCUCCCAGCUUCCCACCUGGCUGCGUUCUGCAGGCCAGAGGCUCCCUCGGACCUUGCCGUAGCUGCAGAUGGGGGCUCCCGUGUGCCCCUGAGCUGUUUCUCUACCAAGGGCCACCCCAAGACUUCACAUUGUCCCCCACAGGCAUGUAGAGUGGAGCUCCAUAAAAUGCAUGGCCUGAGGGUGCAUCCUCUACCGCCCAAAGGCAUUCUGGAACAUUCCUCCAUAUGCCUUCACCCCUACAAUGAGUUUUUUGCAAAUGGGGGGGAGUGGGGCGGUCCUAGCAGGCAUUCUCAGAUUUCUGUGCCCUUGGUUUCUCCCCUGCAACUUGAUGGCGUAGUGUCAAGGCACGUCCUGUGUCUCUGUGGAGUCCUCCAGUUGGUUUCUCUUUUUCCUUAAACUGAGCUCGAACCCCUUUCCUU
rnacentral:lncRNA from 1 species